rnacentral:lncRNA from 1 species
CAAUUUUGUAAAGUUUUCUAAUUUUCAGCUGCCAUUUUACUUCAUUCAUGGUCCAUCAAUCAAAAUCUUGUGUUAAUGAUUUAGUCUGUUUCUAAGUUACAGUGUCACAGUUUAAGUAUUUUUUAUCUCGCAUGUUGAUUUGUUGUUAAGAAGAUUUAAUGGUUGUCUGAAAAAUGUAACCUGCCCAGAAUAUUCAUUGUCAACUGAUUAAUGUCUAGCUAUUGUUUUUGAUGAGUUGAUGGCAAGAUAUAUUCGAUUGACUAACGUAACCCAUGACUUUUACAUAUAACAAGUUGUAUUUCUUUGCCUAAUGUGUCAUGUUAGUAUCACUGUUACACUAGUACUGUCAGUAAAUUAUCAUUUAUUAUACAGCUAUAUUUCUGGUGAGUUUUUUGUUAGUAUUUGUACUUUUAUAACCAUACUCAUGAUUUCUUCAGAUGUAAAAGGACAUGAAAGUUAGCUAAGAAUAACAAACUAAAGACAUGUAUGUAGAUCUCACUCAAUAUUGUUGACAAGGUUAAAGAUUCAAUGAUGAAGAGAUAUUACCAUUAACUGUUGACCAAAAGCAAUUUAUUACUGUAGUUAUAUUAUUGUUUCAGUAUUUUUCUGUACAUACAUAUUAUUUCUUUUUUAAGUACCAGAUUUAUAUUUAGUUAAAUUUAAUUCAGUAUACUCUUUCUGUGAUAUCAGUUAUACAGUAUAGGUUUAUAUAUGUUUCUAAAUAAAUACUUUUGUAAUGUUAAA